rnacentral:lncRNA from 1 species
CAAUGAGAUCUAGUAACUGUCUCCAGCCCAGGGUACGGGGAAGGAAAGAAGGUGGAAGUAAAGAAAAAACAUGCUGAUUUGUAUUUUAACAAUUUUUCUAAGAAUGAUCAGUAGACUUCUAUUGAUCUUUCAGUUUCUAACAAUGAAUAAAAUCUACUUCUAAGAUGAUGCAUCUUUGAAUAUUUCUAAUUCUUCGUUGCCUGUGAUCUGCUUGUGCUGGGUGGGAAAAGCAGCUUUACAACAUGAGACCACAGCUCACAGAUAGAGGGAGGGUUGUUCAUUAGCAACUAUCUUGGCUCUUCAGCCUUCGUCCCACCUCCAUACCUGGACUUCAGCAGGACCUGCCUGCUUGUAUGAAUCACUGUGGCACCACAUCAGGGAUCAUGGACCAGGGGUUGCUAGAUGUUCCUAUUUCCCCUGCACCUGACAUGGCAGAAGGUGACUAUGCUGACCAACAAUACUUCAGUGGAAGCUGAAGAAGGGGAAAAGGAGCAUCAUCCAGAAGGCUUAUGUCUCAGCAGACAGAGAACAUCCCAGAGCAGCUCCAACAGAGCCACCUGGAAGUUCUUGGAGGGCCCAGUGGAUCAGGGGACAGCAAAGAAUUCCACAUCUUUUAAAUCCCAGGCAUCUCCUUCCCCAAAGUGUGUUCAGACUAAAAACCAGAACAGGCCAGAAGACCCCAUACACAGAAUCUUCACUGAAGAGGACUUGUAAAGGAAAGAGAAGAUACUUUUGCCACAAAGGCUCAAUAGUGGGGCAUGAGCCAAGAGGAAGGAACAGCAGUUACUGCCUGUCAGCAAUAUCCAGGCAGAGGGAGGCAGAAGACACCAAAUCCAUCUCAAAUGCCAAAGAACAAGUAACAGGCCAGCACCAGACACUGAGCUCUGGAGGGCCUGGAUCUUCCUGGAAGACCAUCAAAGCCAGAUAAAAAAAGCCAAGGAGAGUGCAGCAGAUUAAAUGACAAAGAGUCCUUAGCAUCAUUAGGGACAGAUACAAAAGCGGAAUGGAAGCUCCUUCUGGAGAAGAGAAACAGCUUGAUCCAUGCUAACAGGAAAUACAAAUUUACUACUGCAGAUGAACUUCACAGAAUCACAGAAUUGUCUAGGUUGAAAAAGACCUUGAAGAUCAUCCAGUCCAACCAACUUACUGGAGAUGAACAGGUAUCAGAGGAAGCCAUUUCAUGUAUCCUUUGUGGCAGGUUGAAGACCAUUUGUAUGGUGUAACGGCGCUGAGUGGGAUAUUAGCAGUAUAUCAGCAGUUUCUAGAAGACAUGUAGAGGGAUAGAUUUGGGCUUCGCAUUACAGGGUAGUGACACAUUCCAUAGACAGCCUUUCCAGCCUUUCCCAUAUCUUUUUGAAUUUUGUUUUUCCAUCCCCUUUUCAUUUAUAAGGUUCUUGUAGCCAGGCAGAGUCCCAGCUCAGCAAGGCAAAAAAAAUGUGGUACCAGGACCCAAUCCAGGGCCCAACAUCUUCAUGCCAUUAUAUUUCCUCCUCUUUUUACCAGUCCUAGUCAUCCAAUGCAAUUACAGUGCCUACAGAAGCCCCUGAGGGAGACUCAAGGACAGACCCAGGUCUCAGGAAUUAGUAAUAGCUCAAAGACCUAUGCAGAGGUGGAAAAGACAGGAG